GCACAGCAGGGUGGCGUAGUGGUUAGCCCGUCUGCCUAGUGAGCAGAAGACCCAGGUUCGAAUCCUGGCUUGGGUA